CCACUCCAGCCAGCAGAUGGCGAUGAGCGUCUUUCAGGUGAUGAUUCUUCCGUGACGUAUAAUGGACUGGACGGACGCUUCUUCAGGAACAACAACGCGGCUACUCUUUCAACCACGUCGGUAGCUUGCUAGCCAACAUAAAAGUGAAAGAUUGACGCUUUAGACCAUCUUAAUGUACAUAAUCUAAUCUCAGUGUUUUACACAGAGUUCUUUUGACGUAUUAACUAGUUAAUAUUUGCAAACUUGUUAAAGAUUGAUGCUGAGCCUAGCACUAGGCUAGUCGCUAAUGCUAGCUAACUAUCUAGCUAACAUCCCUGACCAUGAGUUCAUUAAACUACUCAUCCCUGCUAUAGAAGAGGAGGUCUGCUGUUUGCAGAAAGAAGCUCUGGCGCUGAACAUUGAAGAAGAGGAUGAGGUUACAGUGAAAGAAGAGAAAGAACCUUUUAGAAUGAAAAAGGAGGAAGAUGAGACUGUUAUAGUGAAGGAAGAAGAUGCUGUUAUAGUGAAAGAACAUUUCAGAAUGAAAAAGGAGGAAGAGGAGGCUGUUAUAGUGAUAGAAGAGAAAGAACCGUUUAGAGAGGAAGAGGAUGCUAUCUCAAUAAAGGUGAAGGAGGAGGAGACAGAAUAUCAGAUUACCACCAGAGAGAGACAUGACUAUGGUGGAUCCUCUGGGAAGAAGCAUCAACAACAUCCUGAUGCUGACGAGGAAGAGAAGAGUCUCCAGAUCAGAACACAAGAUGGUACAGCUUGGUCUGGUCUAGCAUGCAGCUUGGUCUGGUCUUGCUCUCUCUGGGUCUGGUCUAGCUCUCUCUGGGUCUGGGCUGGGUUUCUGUAAAGCACUUUAUGACAACAGUGACAUCAGCAUCCAUAAUGAUAUGUGUCUGUGUCCCAUCUUUAUGGUUACCAGGACAACGCUAGCCCUUCCUCCCUCCUGGAGUCCCUGUGUCGUGCCUCUCCCGGUAGCGCCUUACUGCUGGGUAUGAAGAGGUUGUCUGUGCUGCUGGUGGACUGCAGGAAAACAACGGGGCUGAGUGGAACUGUGAGAGGAGGAGAAGAGAAGAAAGGAUCAGAUUUGAAACAUCAAAGUAAGUGCUGUAAUUUAGUUUGAACAAAUUAAAUAGAUCUGGUAUCUGUUACCAGGACAACCAGCAGAGUUCUGUUAGUUGACAUGAAGAUGGACUGGUAUCUGUUACCAGGACAACCAGCAGAGUUCUGUUAGUUGACAGGAAGAUGGACUGGUAUCUGUUAUCAGGACAACCAGCAGAGUUCUGUUAGUUGACAGGAAGAUAGACUGGUGUAUAUGGAUGUUAUGAAUAUCAUAACACUGAAAAAGGAUUCUGCCAAUGAAAAGAGAGAAACCAAUAGACCAUAUAAAACCUUGAUGAAAGUUAGCUUUGGAGAGAAAGUUUCAAGAUGAUCCAAUGUAAGGUGCUUUUUUUACAAAAACUAUUCCUUAAAACAUUAUGGAUGUUACAGUCAACCCCCCUAUCUUUACAAGACUGU
rnacentral:lncRNA from 1 species